UGUCCUACGGGGGGCAGCAGUGGGGAAUAUUGCACAAUGGGGGGAACCCUGAUGCAGCGACGCCGCGUGGGUGAAGAAGUCAUUCGUGACGUAAAGCCCUAUCAGCAGGGAAGAAAAUGACGGUACCUGACUAAGAAGCCCCGGCUAACUACGUGCCAGCAGCCGCGGUAAUACGUAGGGGGCAAGCGUUAUCCGGAUUUACUGGGUGUAAAGGGAGCGUAGACGGCGGCGCAAGUCCGGAGUGAAAGCCCACGGCUCAACCGCGGAACUGCAUUUGAAACUGUUAGUCUUGAGUACCGGAGAGG
rnacentral:rRNA from 1 species